rnacentral:lncRNA from 1 species
GAUCAAGAGUGUGUGAAGCUUUUGAGAAUUGUGGUUGCCCUCCAUUGAUGAAGCUCUUGUUGGCACCAUGAAUUGGUUUUGCUUCACACUGUUUUGAUCAAGAGUGUGUGGCCCUCCAUUGAUGAAGCUCUUGUUAGCACCAUGAAUUGGUUUUGCUUCACACUGUCUUGAUUAAGAGUGCGUGAAACUUUUGAGAAUUGUGGUUGCCCUCCAUUGAUGAAGCUCUUGUUGGCACCAUAAAUUGGUUUUGCUUCACACUGUAUUGAUCAAGAGUGUGUGAAGCUUUUGAGAAUUGUGGUUGAGCUCAUUUGUUGAAGUUCUUGUUAGCACCAUAAAUUGGUUUUGCUUCACACUGUCUUGAUCAAGAGUGUGUGAAGCUUUCUACGAGUUGUAGUGUUUGCAUUAUUACAGAAGGGAAAUGUCUGAAGCAGAUGCAAGAGGGCUGAAUAGCUUGAUCUUGCAAUAAGACUUUGUUGGUGACUAUAACUCUUGUUGGGCAUAAGUGCUCCCCUAGUUGAGUUGUCAAGCUUGAGGGUUUUUGAUUAUUUGUGAAUGCUAGGAGUUCACAUGUACAAGUUGUACCACUCGUCUUUUGGUAGGUGGAAUGAAUGGUGAGUUACUUUCAUCACUUGGUUGGUGGUACGAAGGUGAGUUCCUUCAUCACCU